AGCGAACGCUGGCGGCAUGCCUAACACAUGCAAGUCGCACGGGGGGGCUUCGGCCUCCCAGUGGCGGACGGGUGAGGAACGCGUAGGGACCUGUCGAGGGGUGGGGGAUAACCGCGGGAACCUGCGGCUAAUACCGCAUGACGCCGCGGCGUGACAGCCGGGGCCAAAGGCGAAAGCCGCCCGCCGAGGGGCCUGCGUCCGAUUAGCUGGUUGGCGGGGUAGCGGCCCACCAAGGCGUCGAUCGGUAGCUGGUCUGAGAGGGUGAUCAGCCACACCGGGACUGAGACACGGCCCGGACUCCUACGGGAGGCAGCAGUGGGGAAUAUUGGACAAUGGGCGCAAGCCUGAUCCAGCAAUGCCGCGUGGGUGAAGAAGGUCUUCGGAUUGUAAAGCCCUUUCGGCGGGGACGAUGGUGACGGUACCCGCAGAAGAAGCCCCGGCUAACUUCGUG
rnacentral:rRNA from 1 species